GCAGUUAGGAGAGGCAGUUAGAGGAUGGGGAGUUAAGAUUAGGGUGAGAGAGAAAAGGACACUGGAAGAGAAUCUUCUCAGUUUAUAGUCUGGAAAUGGGACCGCAUCAGCAGUGACUUGAGUUGUAUGCAAAGGCUUGGAGAAAGCACCUGUUUGUACGGGAAGAUUUACAAGGCAAUCAGCAGUCAAGUAACUCCUUGAUAUCACAAGCACUUUUUGCUCAGUGUUUUGAGAGUUGGGAACAGAUUUUCAAGAGAUAUUAGCAAAAUACAUGAUGGCGUUUGAUCAGAAACACGGUGAUGCUGCAAUUUCUACACUUCAAGUUCAAGUGGAUGAUGUGAAAAAUGUCAUGAGCCAGAAUAUUGAAAAAGUCUUGGACAGAGAGGAACGGCUGAGUGAGCUGGCUGAUCGAAGCGAUGAUCUCCAAACAGCGGCUCACGGUUUCCAAAAGACGUCUACAAAGAUUUCAAGGAAGAUGUGGUGGAAAAACACUAAAAUGAUCAUAAUUAUUGUUAGCGUUGUCCUCGUCAUAGUAGUGUUCAUCAUCCUUUUAGCCACAGGCACCAUUCCAACAUAAGAAUCCUUUUAAGCAGUUUCAAACAAUGCACUGGCAUUCUAUAAAGAGUUCUAGAUUGAAAGGCACAAGUAUUUUUGUUUAAGUCUUCUAUCUACAAAUAAGUACAGUUAACAGCUACAAAUUGCUUUUACACACUAGUGUUUGCCGUUGGCUGGCAAGCAACCAGGGAUGGGAAACCUGUAGCCCUCCAGGUUCCUGGAUUACAAACCACAUUAUCCACAACCCUUUGCCAGGCUGGCUGGGGCUGGCAGGAAUUGGGAGUCCAACGAGGUCUGGAGGAUCACGGAUUUCCCAGCCCUGCAAUAAAGGAAUGAGCUAACUCCCCAUUUUAAAUAUUUUGCAUCAUAAAAAGUGACAAGGCAAUAGAUUUGCCUAUUAAGACAAAACCCUGAACAAAAUUCUCAAUGGUGCAGGAGUAGAAAUAUUAAGCCAAUACUAAUACUAAAUUUCUAAGCCAACUUGUUGCAUCUACUUCCUAUUCUGCACCCUUAUAUGCUUAAGGCCCACAUUCUACAAAUACUGGUGUUUAAGGGUUAAAUAAUAAUAAUAAUCUGAUACCAAGUAGGAAAAGUUCUUUAUUAAAGGGGGAAAGUUGUGCUAUAGGCAAGAGCAGGCUUGAGAACUCUAGACCACAAUGUCCUGCCCAAAGGUUUUUUGCUUAUUCUCACACUACAUGAUUCUUCACUGCAGUUCGGUUUCAUGUUUAUUAAGCGAUAGCCUGAUAAAGAAAUCGAGCCCUAGUGCAGGUGUAUCUCAUGCCUGGAGCCUCUCUAGCUGAAAAACUUUUAGUGUCUGAACUUCAGUCAAUAGCUAUAUGUCCAGACACACAUGACUGCAAUGUAUGGAGCCCCAGCAUUUUAUAUGUAAGAAUUUUGGGAAAGAGCAGUGAGAAAGAUGCUGGGGUUUGCUGCCAGCCACUGGUGACAGCAGGUAGACGGACCCUAAAAAAGCACCUCCUUAGAGCCAUGAGAACAUGUUGAGACGAACAGAUUGUGCAAUACAAGCCAUGGCAGAAGCAAUUCAUUCUGCAGUCUCUUACUCCAGAGUAGACUAUCAGGAGCCUUCAGAGUACUUACCCAAUUGACGGUUAUAACAAUCAGUACAAAAUUAAUGAAAUGCUUAAAAGUGCUGUCUUUCUUGAUUCAACUGCUUAUAGAAAUGCUUUGUUU